rnacentral:tRNA from 1 species
GCAGUCGUGGCCGAGUGGUUAAGGCGAUGGACUAGAACUCCAUUCGCACAGGUUCGAAUCCUGUCGACUGCG